rnacentral:rRNA from 1 species
ACGCUCGACACCUACGGGAGUCAGCAGUGGGGAAUAUUGCACAAUGGGGGAAACCCUGAUGCAGCGACGCCGCGUGGAGGAAGAAGGUCUUCGGAUUGUAAACUCCUGUUGUUGGGGAAAAAGAGGAUGGUACCCAACAAGGAAGUGACGGCUAACUACGUGCCAACAGCCGCGGUAAUCUGAGCGGGCGUGGCAAGGC